rnacentral:misc_RNA from 1 species
AAGUCGUAACAAGGUAACCGUAGGUGAACCUGCGGUUGGAUCAUUACUAAAGAAAUAUGUGCCUGGACGCGUUCUGCGCAACCUUGCACCAUAUUUUACCACCCCUUUGUGAACUGUUUACCGUAUUUUGGCGGCCCUCCAAACGGAGCGGCGCUGAACCGCUAGGGCCCAACCUAGUCCCUCGGGGCGAAAGUGGGGUCUUUGCGCUUCAGCCUUGCUCUUGGGCCGUCAGCCUAACACACACCAAUGUUGUAUUUCAAACUCAUGUCUCCAAAAGAUUUUUUUAAAUCUUGUUUUUAUAAUAAAAAACAACUUUUGACAACGGAUCUCUUGGCUCUC